rnacentral:tRNA from 1 species
GGAGGGCUCGCAUAGUGGCCUAGUGCGGCGGUCUUGAAAAUCGCUAAGGCAGGACCCACCUGUCUUCAUGGGUUCGAAUCCCAUGCCCUCCG